UCUUUAUAACACAUUUUAAAUCAUUCUGUUUUUUCCAUUGGUAAGCUGAUACUCAGCCUGAAGCUAUGCUAUUCUGGGGGCAGAACCAUAAAGACUCACUUUUCAAGCCAUCACCAUGCAGGCCUGGAUUUAUCCCACCUCCCAGUGUUUAGAGAUUUCCAGCAAGUUCUGAGGAUCUGCUACUUCUGCUGCUGCUUCAGCUACUGCUGAAGCAAGAGAAACAACACGGGCUGCCAACUUUUUAACCUGUGGGAAGCAUGGAAGUUGGUUUCCUGCUUUUACAUGUUGCACAUAGGGCUAUGCACUGUUGGCUUUAGGUGUAGGUCUAGGCAAAAUCACAAUAUCAAGGAGAACAUCUACACCCUGUUUAUCUCAUGUCGUUGGCCACGGUCUGAGCUGGACCGUGCUGACUUAGCAGCAUCCCUGAAAAGGCUUGGCAGUAGGCAAUCAUGUAGCUACAUAAACUGGUGCUUAGGGCACUCUGUGACUACCCACAUCCUCCUGCUCCUCGCUGCCACGUGGCCAAGGAGCGAGGGGGCCAGGGUCUGCUUGGGAAGUCCUGUCCCUUUGCCAGCUCUGGGAAGUGUCGUCCUGCCAUCCCAAAGCUUAAGCCGUUGGUUUCCUCUGCCUCCAUUUUUAGAAUGGCAGUAUUAAAUGUCACCUGUUUCUGCUGCUGUUUCUUUGCUGCCUCAAGGGCGAAACCUGGAUUGUUACUCUGAGACGGCUGAACCUCAUUCUGCACAAGACAAGGACCAUCAUGUGGUUUGCAGGACAUCUCAGAUGGGAAAACAAGCUCCAGCUGCCAGGCUAGCCCUGAAUGAGGGUGCAGAGACUCCCAACCAGAAGAGCAAGCAGGAGAGCAGACUCUCGCCUCCUCCCAUCCCCAGUCAGCUGUUUGGUUGUUCUCUGGCUCUUUUCUGCUGGAAAAAAAAAAAAAGAAAAACUGGUCACCAUCAGUUGGAUGGUCCAAUGCAGCGCCUCUUCCAUGUAGAAGACUGUGCAAAAGUCUUGAAGUCUUCCUGUGGGGAUAGGACCCCAGCACUCUCACCAUUUAUGGAAGAAAAUUACAUGCUGGAUUUGUAUUUUCCUUUUCAACCAGACAAUUAUCUAGAAUGCAUUACUCCAAUUUGCAAUUUAUAUUUAAACUUUUUUUUCUGGAUAUUCAGAAAAUAUCAGGUAGUAGGGUCCUCAGCAGUUUAAUCACACAGUACAUUUUACUGUUUUCCCUUGCAUUUUGAAUGUCUACAGCAUAGAGCUAAUUAGUGCUAUGAUGAAUUCCACUUUCUUACAAUGAGAAGAUCUAGCUCUACUAAUUAAUAACUGGACUGUGGUAUUCUUAACUUAUGAUGAGUAGUCCCCUAACUCAUGAUUUGUUUCAAUAUUUUUAGAAUAAAGAACUACUCAAUAUAGAAAUUCUUCA
rnacentral:lncRNA from 1 species